GUGGGGAAUAUUGGACAAUGGGGGGAACCCUGAUCCAGCCAUGCCGCGUGUGUGAAGAAGGCCUUUUGGUUGUAAAGCACUUUAAGCGAGGAGGAGGCUCUCUUGGUUAAUACCUGAGAAGAGUGGACGUUACUCGCAGAAUAAGCACCGGCUAACUCUGUGCCAGCAGCCGCGGUAAUACAGCGGGUGCGAGCGUUAAUCGGAUUUACUGGGCGUAAAGCGCGCGUAGGUGGCUAAUUAAGUCAAAUGUGAAAUCCCCGAGCUUAACUUGGGAAUUGCAUUCGAUACUGGUUGGCUAGAGUAUGGGAGAGGAUGGUAGAAUUCCAGGUGUAGCGGUGAAAUGCGUAGAGAUCUGGAGGAAUACCGAUGGCGAAGGCAGCCAUCUGGCCUAAUACUGACACUGAGGUGCGAAAGCAUGGGGAGCAAACAGGAUUAGAAACCCUGGUAGUCC
rnacentral:rRNA from 1 species